rnacentral:lncRNA from 1 species
AUCAUCUUAAUGGCUCGCUAGCGUCACCUCUCAACCACUACUUCUGGCAAAAAUGCCAUGCGUCAUCCCGACUCGGCUGUGGCCCUCAACAAUUUCUUCUUGAGCCUUGUCCUGAGCGUGAGAGAACACCCAGGUCACGCCUGCCAGGACAGUAUAGCACUAUCUGCUCAGAUCUCCAGGCU